GAGGAAGCCAGCUGCCAUCUCACAAGGACACUAGUCAGCCCUGUGGAGAGGCUUGCGUGGGGAGGAGCUGAGUCCAGUCAUCAACGUCCAGCAUCAGCUUUCCAGAAUCUGAAAAGGAGCCAAAAGGGCAACUGAGAGAUCAAAAACAAUGCUACCAUGUCCAUCACCGAGCCCGAGCACCUUACCCCCCAGGCAGUGAGGAAUGUGGAUUCCCUCAAAUGAGAUCCACACAUUUCCUUUCGUGAGGAAGCAAGUCUUGACCCAGUGCUGUGAGCUCGCCUCCCCGGGUCAGGAAGCUCUGCCUGCCCAGGAUUUCCUGUGUGUGGGAAAGAAACAGGACAAGCAGAUAAUCCUCCGAGGCUUAUUUUCAAGGGCGUGAAGGCCUCUCCCUGGAAGGUAAAACUCCAGAGUAAAUGGUGAUUCCAUUUGGCGGUGCAGAGAUUACAAGAAAGCUUCCCGGAGGGGAUUUGAGGUGGGUUUUCCAUCCAAAGAGAAUUCAGGGAUGAUGGGA